GUUUUAUGCAUAAGGGCAGUGAAAAGUACCAAUAUUUAUGUAUAGUUGCAUGUUUUCAUAAGCGUAAAUUGGGUCCCAGGCUGAAAAGGUUUAAGAACCCCUGAUUUAGAGAUGACAUAACAACCAUUCAAUGGUGUUGUUCAUGCCUCCGCGAUACAGCUAUUUUUAUAAAAAAUAUUUUUUUAAAUAGAAGAAACAUUUUGAUGUUGCUACGGCAACCAAUUAUUUCACAGAGACGAUUUCAGAGUACUCUCGUCUGUGUGCCAAAGUGCAGAAUAAAUUAUGAAUUUACAAAUGCUCAACACCUGUUGAAUAUAGCCGGUGUCAGUAAACGUUGGCAAAAAAAAGCGUAAUUAAAUUGUUGCCAGCACGGUUACAGUCACCAACGCUCUAGAUAACAUGAAAACUGCCUAACCAGCUUUUCUACGAUGAGUAACAUGAUCAGAGUGAGGUGUUCUCCCAUUUGUGUCUGGAAGUAGCUCGCAAACUAGCCAAAUGGACAAUCUGACAACGCUCUGAAUUUACAAACGUCCAGAGCGCACUCUGAGCUGAGCGCACUCCAUAUUGAAUUUACCAACACACCACUUCUCUGAACAAAUGUGUGGAAUGUUGCUCCAGGUAUCUAGAAACUAGCCUGGGUACCAGUCUGUUUGUGCUAACAUUCCACUCGUUGUACUCUUUAUCCUAUGCCAAACAUGACUAGCUAGAAACCGAGGAUGGAGACACUUUGUUCUGCUCCUAGUCAUCUCAUCUGUCCAAAUAUAGUUAGAAUGCCCCCCUCUGUUCAAAUAUAGAUCUAUUCUCCCCCUCCGUUUAACUAUAGUUAGAAUGCCCCCCUCUGUUCAAAUAUAGGUCUAUUCUCCCCCUCUGUUUAAAUAUAGUUAGAAUGCCCCCCUCUGUUCAAAUAUAGGUCUAUUCUCCCCCUCUGUUUAAAUAUAGUUAGAAUGCCCCCCUCUGUUCAAAUAUAGGUCUAAUGUCCUAGCCUGGGUACUAGUCUCUUUAGUUAAUCCACUCUGUGCCAAAGUGAAUGGCUUUUACUGCCAUCUUGAAAUAUGAGCAUUUUAUUAUUAAUGAGCUCGAGGAGAACAUAGGAGUUGAUCCUGAUUUGAUCACCCUCAAAGCUAUCCUCCAAUAACAAUGAUUUUAUGCAAAUUUUGGAACUCUAUCCUUUUUUAUCUCCCCAGAACACCUUGGUAUCCGG
ensembl:lncRNA